AUUGAACGCUGGCGGCAGGCCUAACCCAUGCAAGUCGAACGGUAACAGGAAACAGCUUGCUGUUUCGCUGACGAGUGGCGGACGGGUGAGUAAUGUCUGGGAAACUGCCUGAUGGAGGGGGAUAACUACUGGAAACGGUAGCUAAUACCGCAUAACGUCGCAAGACCAAAGAGGGGGACCCUCGGGCCUCUUGCCAUCGGAUGUGCCCAGAUGGGAUUAGCUUGUUGGUGGGUAACGGCUCACCAAGGCGACGAUCCCUAGCUGGUCUGAGAGGAUGACCAGCCACACUGGAACUGAGACACGGUCCAGACUCCUACGGGAGGCAGCAGUGGGGAAUAUUGGCACAAUGGGCGCAAGCCUGAUGCAGCCAUGCCGCGUGUAUGAAGAA
rnacentral:rRNA from 1 species